UAAACAACAUGAAUACAUUAUGUCCAUAAUAUAAAAAACAGCUACGUAAGUAUAAUAUGAGACGGUGAAAGUCUCAUAUUAAGAAAUCUAGGUUAAUUGAUGAAUUAGACCAUUGGAUGGACCAACUUAUAUUAUAUGUAAUAGAUAGAGUGGUUACAUGUGUUAAUAAUUUCGUAUUAUCCGGCAAACGUUCUAUCGGAUAAUCCGAUAGAAAAGUCAGAUAAUCCGCAUCCAUCGGAUUUCAGAAAUACCAUAUCCGCAUCCGCAUCCAUAUCCGCCGGAUUUCUAAAAACUCCUACCAUAUCCUCGUUACGGACGGAUUCGGAGCGGAUCGGAUCGGAUAUUAUCCGAUCCGUUUUCACCCGUAAUUUUAUAUUAUGGAGAAAUUUAACAAUAUUCCAUCUAUUAUGUUGCUUUGAAUCGAUCGCUAGUCAAAUUUCUUUAGGUUUGAUAAAAAAAUAGUAAUAUCUAUAAUACCAACUUAGUUUUAUUAAAUAUAAUAUAAUAUUGAAUAUAUUUUGAUAAUAUGUUUAUUUUGUGUUGAAAAUGUUACUAUGCUUUUUUUUAUAAAUUUGGUUAAACUCAAUAAGGUUUUGAUAUGAAAAGUUAAAGCGACGAUUUAUAAUAUAAAACGAAGGGAAUAUUACAUAAUUAACGUGCUGCUGUAUUCUUAAUCUAGAUCGAGCAUGAUUCUGGAAACGUCACUCUCAGUCUGAGAUAUGGUUCGGCCUGUAAGGAAAUUAAGAGAUGAUUAUGCACUGUUAGGCACCUGUAAUUUGGCUCUCUCUAGCUCCAAGUUGCAGAAAGCUGGGCGUUCCUAUUCGUAAUGCAGCAUUAGUUUUUUUUUUAAGGAAUGAUGCAGCAUUAGUGAGCAGUAGUACUAGAUUCUAUUCUAGUUAAGCCUGCAUGCAGUGAUGCAGGUCAGGUCAGUUGAACUAAAGAAUUCAAAGCAGCCGCCCUAAGCUAGCUUGAAGCCCGACACUCGAAUAAUGCACAUAUCAUUGACGAGAGUGAGAGGAGUGUGGUGCUAUAUGCCUUUCUUUCUUUUUCUGUUCCUCGCUUUCAGAUCGCCGGGCGUGCAUUGCAUCGACCGGUUUGCAGGUCCUUUCCCAAGGUCGCAUAUCGCAUCGAUCUCUCAAAGGUGAGAGAUCAAAUAUAAUCCAAGCGUCAUACUACUAGUCAAAGAACGCGUGCACAUUCUUAAAAAGGAAGAGAUCUUAAGUGGUGAUGAACAAGUUGGGGGCAGCCAGUGACCAUUGGCUUCCUCGAAACGGCUAAGGGCCCCUUUGAAUCGUAGGGUAGAAAAAACGGAAGAACGGAAAAAACACAGGAUUCUGACAGGAAUUGAAGUGUAAAACAGAGGAUUGCAAAACACAGGAAAAACACAGGAAUGGUUAUUUAAUUGGAGCACAGGAAAAACGCAGGAAUCGGAUGAGAGAGAUAGAAUCAAAGGAAAUUUUUCAAGAGAUUGGAGCUCUUGCUAAAUUUCCUCCAAAAUCCACAUGCAAUGUGCCAUUCCAUAGAAAUUUCAUAGGAUUUGAAAAGUUUCAAUCCUUUGAAUCAAACGAUUUAUGUAGGAAUUUCAUAGGGCAUAAAUCCUUUGAUUCACAGGGCCUAAAUGGGCAUUGGCUAUGAUAUGGCGCAUGGAAGGAACAUUGGCCAGGAUCCGUGUGCGCGUGGACGGCCCAAUCGCCAAUCGGCCGAUCACUCAGGUCGUUCGGCUGCAUAUGUAAUGCCCCCGUUUGCAGUGACGGCGUAAUAGUCACCACGUAGAAACAUAAACCAGCUUCCGCGGCAGCGGUUUUGGAGUGAAGAGACUCGUGGAGGUGAAGUCGUCCUCUUUCAAGGGGUGAAAUUAUUGGAUGAAAUGCUUAUGAUUCCCUAGCUUCCAAAGUGUGCUAAAAAGGCUUUUUAUGUAGAAGAAUGUUUUAAAUUCAUUUUCAACUUUAUGGUAUUUAUUUCAUUUGU
rnacentral:sRNA from 1 species